CACUCAGAGUCGGGCUGCCAGUUACUUCUUCGAUGGCUCCGGUUAUGCCGUGGUGAGAGACAUCACAAGGAGAGGGAAAUUUGGUCAGGUGACUCGCUUUGACAUAGAAGUUCGAACACCAGCUGACAACGGCCUUAUUCUCCUGAUGGUCAAUGGAAGUAUGUUUUUCAGACUGGAAAUGCGCAAUGGUUACCUACAUGUGUUCUAUGAUUUUGGAUUCAGCAGUGGCCCUGUGCAUCUUGAAGAUAUGUUAAAGAAAGCUCAAAUUAAUGAUGCAAAAUACCAUGAGGUACAAAUCAUUGUAGUUUGGUUGGUUUUGUUUUUGUUUUUUAUACUUAGAUCUGCUGAUCUAAUCAGGCAGUCAAAUGAGACAGGCAGGAUGGUAAAUAAACUGAGAACUUUCAUAUCUAAAGAGCAACUGAAGGACCCUCAUCUUCUCAACCCCAGGAAAACAUUUGCUUUAAAACAAUGGAUGUAUUUGUCCUGUUGAUGUUCCAAUUUAAAAGUCACUGAAAGAUUCCUUUUAAUUGCUCAAUUAACCAGAAGGCUUCUAUUAAUCUUAAAUAUCUCAAUUGGUAUUCCUACAG
rnacentral:sRNA from 1 species